rnacentral:rRNA from 1 species
AGAGUUUGAUCCUGGCUCAGGACAAACGCUGGCGGCGUGCGUAACACAUGCAAGUCGAACGGGUGGAGCAAUCCACCAGUGGCGGACGGGUGAGGAACACGUAGAUCAUCGACCCGGCACAGGGGAAUACCUCUGGGAAACCAGGGCUAAAACCGCAUACGCUCCGUGAGGAGGAAAGGCGCAAGCCGGUGCCGGACGAGUCUGCGGCCGAUUAGCUGGUUGGUGGGGUAAUGGCCCACCAAGGCGACGAUCGGUAGCUGGUCUGAGAGGAUGAUCAGCCACAUGGGGAUUGAGAACGGCCCCAAUCCCUACGGGGAGCAGCAGUGAGGAAUCUUCGGCAAUGGGCGCAAGCCUGACCGAGCGACGCCGCGUGCGGGACGACGCGUUUCGGCGUGUAAACCGCUUUUCUGGGGGACAAGACCGGAUGGUACCCCAGGAAUCAGCCCCGGCUAACUACGUGCCAGCAGCCGCGGUAAUACGUAGGGGGCGAGUGUUGUCCGGAGUUACUGGGCGUAAAGCGUGUGUAGGCGGUACGGUGCGUCUGUGGGCAAAUCUCCCGGCUUACCUGGGAGGGGGCCACGGAAACGACCGCACUUGAGGGCAUGAGAGGCCAGUAGAACUCCUGGUGGACCAGUGAAAUGGGUAGAGAUCGGGAAGAAUACCAGUGGUGCAGACGGCUGGCUGGCGUGUCCCUGACGCUGAGACACGAAAGCAUGGGGAGCAAACAGGAUUAGAUACCCUGGUAGUCC